GUAUUUGUUAUAAUAGUUUACAUUCAUUACAUUAUGUUUAAGUUUGUGCCCAAAGGCAAAUAGUUCACAGGUGUAUAAGGAUAUAAAAGCUAAGCUCGAAAGCGUCGCCGUUUAUUAAUGAUCCUUCCGCAGGUUCACCUACGGAAA
rnacentral:misc_RNA from 1 species